rnacentral:rRNA from 1 species
GUGGGGAAUCUUAGACAAUGGGGGAAACCCUGAUCUAGCCAUGCCGCGUGAGCGAUGAAGGCCUUAGGGUUGUAAAGCUCUUUCAGCUGGGAAGAUAAUGACGGUACCAGCAGAAGAAGCCCCGGCUAACUCCGUGCCAGCAGCCGCGGUAAUACGGAGGGGGCUAGCGUUGUUCGGAAUUACUGGGCGUAAAGCGCGCGUAGGCGGACCAGAAAGUUGGAGGUGAAAUCCCAGGGCUCAACCUUGGAACUGCCUUCAAAACUCCUGGUCUGGAGUUCGAGAGAGGUGAGUGGAAUUCCGAGUGUAGUGGUGAAAUUCGUAGAUAUUCGGAGGAACACCAGUGGCGAAGGCGGCUCACUGGCUCGAUACUGACGCUGAGGUGCGAAAGCGUGGGGAGCAAACAGGAUUAGAAACCCCUGUAGUCC